UAUAUGAUGAUAAGAUGUUUCAUGUUUAGAUACAUGAUGAUAAGAUGUUUAAUGUUUAGAUACAUGAUGAUAAGAUGUUUAAUGUUUAGAUACAUGUAGUAUAUGAUGAUAAGAUGUUUCAUAUUUAGAUACAUGUAGUAUAUGAUGAUAAGAUGUUUAAUGUUUAGAUACAUGUAGUAUAUGAUGAUAAGAUGUUUCAUGUUUAGAUACAUGUAGUAUAUGAUGAUAAGAUGUUUCAUGUUUAGAUACAUGUAAUAUAUGAUAAGAUGUUUCAUGUUUAGAUACAUGUAGUAGUAUGAGAUGAUAAGAUGUUUCAUGUUUAGAUACAUGUAGUAUAUGAUAAGAUGUUUCAUGUUUAGAUACAUGUAGUAUAUGAUAAGAUGUUUCAUGUUUAGAUACAUGUAGUAUAUGAUAAGAUGAUUCAUGUUUAGAUACAUGAUGAUAAGAUGUUUAAUGUUUAGAUACAUGAUGAUAAGAUGUUUGAUGUUUAGAUACAUGUAGUAUAUGAUGAUAAGAUGUUUCAUGUUUAGAUAUAUGUAUAUAUGAUGAUAAGAUGUUUAAUGUUUAGAUACAUGAUGAUAAGAUGUUUCAUGUUUAGAUACAUGUAGUAUAUGAUGAUAAGAUGUUUCAUGUUUAGAUACAUGUAGUAUAUGAUAAGAUGUUUCAUGUUUAGAUACAUGUAGUAUAUGAUAAGAUGUUUCAUGUUUAGAUACAUGUAGU
ensembl:lncRNA